AUUGAACGCUGGCGGCAGGCCUAACACAUGCAAGUCGAGCGGAUGAAGGGAGCUUGCUCCUGGAUUCAGCGGCGGACGGGUGAGUAAUGCCUAGGAAUCUGCCUGGUAGUGGGGGAUAACGUCCGGAAACGGGCGCUAAUACCGCAUACGUCCUGAGGGAGAAAGUGGGGGAUCUUCGGACCUCACGCUAUCAGAUGAGCCUAGGUCGGAUUAGCUAGUUGGUGGGGUAAAGGCCUACCAAGGCGACGAUCCGUAACUGGUCUGAGAGGAUGAUCAGUCACACUGGAACUGAGACACGGUCCAGACUCCUACGGGAGGCAGCAGUGGGGAAUUUUGGACAAUGGGCGAAAGCCUGAUCCAGCCAUGCCGCGUGUGUGAAGAAGGUCUUCGGAUUGUAAAGCACUUUAAGUUGGGAGGAAGGGCAGUAAGUUAAUACCUUGCUGUUUUGACGUUACCAACAGAAUAAGCACCGGCUAACUUCGUG
rnacentral:rRNA from 1 species